rnacentral:lncRNA from 1 species
UGUUCCUCCCACUCAAACUGUUAUUCAGCUACAAAACAUAUUUAUCUCUGAUACUGUGUUGCCCUCUCCACACAGAACCAGGCCAAAAUUCCCUAGGGGACAAGGGAGGGCCUCAACCCAUGCUGCCUCCUCUUCACCAAUCCCCAGACAGCAUCCCUAGCCCAGGCUUGUGCACCUCCUCUUUGCCCACCUAGUAUAUUUAUUGGAAUUUAGGGUUUAUUUCCUAAAUGCAUGGAGAUCUUAGCCCCUGGAGGCCACCAUGCCAUCUCAGUUUUCUAACAAUCAUCCGUCUCCAGGUAAGAUUGCCAGGUGAAAUAUUUGAAACAUCUUUUUACUAAAAACGUAUUUGUUGUUCAUCUGAAAUUCAAAUGUAACUGGAUGUCUUGUAUUUUUAUUUGCUAUGUCUAACAACUCUACCAGUGAGGCUUCCAUAAAUAUGACCUCUGCCUGGCUGGUCCACCAGGCCACCCAGACAUUCCUGAGCAGGUUUUAAUAUGCUUGAGUUCACCAUGAGCAGACAAGCCAGGCCCUCACUGAUUUGGAGUAUCCAGACUUUUGUGCCAAGUGUAUAAAUGUAAUAUUGGGAAUUAGUAAGUGUUUUAAGAGUGGCAUACUUUUUGGACACAGAAAAUAAUCUUUCGUUUUAUCCAUCAUUAGUUAGUUAUUAAAGAGUAAUUAAUGUUGUUAGAAAUGGACUUUUUUAUUCUGUAAAAUAGACUUAAUUAUAUAAAGCAAGUAUAAUCAACAGGCCAUGUUGCUUUUAGAUACAAAUCAGCUAAGAACAAUGUUCCAGUCAGCUCUCCUGUUUGACGGAUCUCUAUUAAAAGCAAACCUUCCAGCUUCCUUUCAACAAAAGUGGCCAAAACAAACAUGUCUGUACAAUAGUCCCCCCUUAUCCUCAGGGAAUAUGUCCUAAGACCCCAGUGGAUGUCUGAAUCUGUGGGUAGUACUGAACC